GGGUCAGUAGGUUGGUCGUGCCACCGGUACGUACUGGUCCCACUGAUUCCUCCUUCCUGAAGAACCGUAAUGCCAUUAAUUUGGUGUUGCGGGGAAACAGGACUGUUACUUUGAAAAAAUUAGAGUGUUUAAAGCAAGCCAACGCUUGAAUACAUUAGCAUGGAAUAAUGAAAUAGGACGAUCGAUCCUAUUUUGUUGGUUUCUAGGAUUGACGUA
rnacentral:rRNA from 1 species